rnacentral:rRNA from 1 species
GUUGCCAGCAGUUCGGCUGGGCACUCUAAGGGACUGCCGGUGUUAAACCGGAGGAAGGUGGGGAUGACGUCAAGUCCUCAUGGCCUUUAUGACCAGGGCUACACACGUACUACAAUGGCCGAUACAAAGGGCAGCGACACGUGCGAGGUGAAGCCAAUCCCGUAAAAUCGGUCUCAGUCCGGAUUGGAGUCUGCAACUCGACUCCAUGAAGUUGGAAUCGCUAGUAAUCGUGGAUCAGCAUGCCACGGUGAAUACGUUCCCGGGCCUU